rnacentral:rRNA from 1 species
AACGAACGCUGGCGGCAUGCCUAACACAUGCAAGUCGAACGAAGGCUUCGGCCUUAGUGGCGCACGGGUGCGUAACGCGUGGGAAUCUGCCCUUAGGUUCGGAAUAACAGUUAGAAAUGACUGCUAAUACCGGAUGAUGACGUAAGUCCAAAGAUUUAUCGCCUGAGGAUGAGCCCGCGUAGGAUUAGCUAGUUGGUGUGGUAAAGGCGCACCAAGGCGACGGUCCUUAGCUGGUAUGAGAGGAUGAUCAGCCACACUGGGGCUGGGACACGGCCCAGACUCCUACGGGUUGCAGCAGUGGGGUGUAUUGGACAAGGGGCGCAAGCCUGAUCCUGCAAUGCCGCGUGAGUGAUGAAUGCCUUAGGGUUGUAAAGCUCUUUUAGCCGUGAUGCUAAUGACAGUAGCGGUAGAAUAAGCCCCGGCUAACUACGUG